AGAGAGAGACAUGCGCGCAUAUCAAUAAGCGGAGGAAAAGAAACUAACAAGGAUUCCCUUAGUAACGGCGAGUGAAGCGGGAAGAGCUCAAAUUUGAAAUCUUCAAGGUUUUACCUUGACGAAUUGUAGUUUAAAGAAGUGUUUUCUGCUGAAGUUUUGGUAAAAGUUCUUUGGAAUAGGACAUCAUAGAGGGUGAGAAUCCCGUAUUUGACCAUUAUUUUCAGCUUUGUGAUACACUUUCAAAGAGUCGGAUUGUUUGGGAAUGCAGUCCAAAAUGGGUGGUAAAUUUCAUCUAAAGCUAAAUAUUGGCGAGAGACCGAUGAGCGAACAAGUACCGUGAGGGAAAGAUGAAAAGAACUUUGAAAAGGAGAGUUAAACAGUACGUGAAAUUGUCAAAAGGGAAGCGUUUGACACCAGUGUUGUUUUCUCGAAAAUCAAUUAAAAAUGGCUCGAUUUUGUAUUGUUGAGACCUUAAAAGCUCACUGUACAUUUUUCGUGUCUUUUUUAAUGCACUUUUCGUUUAACAAGUCAACAUCAGUUUCUUUUGUUGUAAAAGGGUCAUUGGAAGGUGGCUUUCUUUUCGGAGAAAGUGUUUAUAGCCUUUGGCCUCUGCAAUCGGAGAGACUUGAGGUCUGCAGCGUAGAUCUCUUCGGGGUUAGAUACAUUUGUGCUAAGUUAUAGCUUUUUAUAGACAACUUGUUGACUAUAAUUAGUCUUGUAGCUUACUCGCUUAUGCUAUUUUACCUACGCUUAGGAUGUUGAGUCGUAGAGCACGCAG
rnacentral:rRNA from 1 species